UUUUUGAAUUUAAUAUAAAGUCUAAUCUGCCCCCUGAUAAAUUAUUAAAGGGCUGCAGUAUUUUGACUGUACAAAGGUAGCAUAAUCGUUUGUCUCUUAAUUGGUGACUUGUAUGAAAGAUUGGAUGAAAUAUAAACUGUCUCAUUAUAAUAAGUAAAAUUUAAUUUUUUAGUAAAAAAGCUAAAAUGAUUUUAAAAGACGAGAAGACCCUAUAGAGUUUAAUAAUUAUUUUUAUAUAAAAUAAAAUAUAAAAGUUUAAAUUUAAAUAAAAAUAAUUAUUUUGUUGGGGUGAUAGAAAAAUUAAAUUAACUUUUUUUAGUUAUAUACAUGAAUAAGUGAAUAAAUGAUCCAUUAAUAAUGAUUAUAAGAAAAAAUUACCUUAGGGAUAACAGCGUAAUUUUUUUUUUUAGGCCAAAUAAGAAAAAGAGUUUGCGACCUCGAUGUUGGAUUAAGAUAAAAUUUAAAUGUAAAAGUUUAAAGUUUUGAUCUGUUCGAUCAUUAAAA
rnacentral:rRNA from 1 species